rnacentral:tRNA from 1 species
GCCUCGGUGGCGUAAUGGUCAAUACGCUCGCCUGGUAAACAAGAGGGCGCGGUUCGAACCCAGCCGAGGCA